GAAGGUUGGCAGCUGCAGCUUCAGAUGGGCCUCUGUGGAAGUGAGACCAAGAAGGCAGUGACAAGGUUUCACUGUGGCCUCCAUCUGAGGCUCCUAGAUGUCCCCAUGAGCCCUGCACUGUGGGAUGACUGCAGAGAUAAAGACCAGCUGGAGAAGUUGGGGAGCAAUCCUGGAGUCAGACGGGAGACAUUUGCCUGUUGUUUUUCUUAGGCAUUUGGCCACAGUGACAGGAAGCUGACUAAUGCAGUGCUUCAUGGCAAAGAGCAUGUGGCAGAAGGGGUCUGGGUGCCCUGUGGCAGUCAUGAAGCAAAGAGAAAGAGGAAGAGGAAGUGAGAGAGAUCAGUCCUGAGCCAAUGUUGGGGGAUCCACCCUCACGGUUCAUCACCUUCAAGUACCAUUACACUCAGUCCAGAGAGAUGAUGAUACAAAAAAUUAUAUUGGGGUAUCAAAUAAGAGCCAAGAUACAUCAUGUACAGGUACAAGCACCCAAUGAUAAAUGUAAAUGUAUUGUGUACCUAAAAUGUACCAAUAAAAGAAUUUAAGCAAAAAAAAUGCUUGGAAUGCCACUGUGAUUUGGAGUAGUUUGAAGGUAAAGGAAAUUGGUAUCAACUAUAUGAGGUGUGAUCAAAAUAUAUGGUGAAUGUUUAAAUUAAGAAUAUUUAUUACAGUAAAAGACACAUUGCCAUGAACAAUCCUCAAAGUACUUCCCCUUUCUUCUAACAUACUUAUGUCAUUGUUCUUGCCAUUUUCUGAAGCAGUUCUGAAAGUCCUCUUUCAUGAAGGUCUUUACAAGGUGAGAUAAAAAAAUACAGGGAAUGCUGCUGCCAAGUGCCAUCCAACAGAAGGGCAAGCUCAUACAAACAUCAUGGUGUGUCCUCGUCCACCUUACUCACCACACCUUACUCACCAGACCAUGCCACUUCUGGCCUUCCUUAAUGCCAAAAUGAACAUGAGAGGUAAACGUUUUGGAUUGAUUCAGGACAUUGAGGCAGCCAUGACAGCACAACUAAAGACACAAAAGAGCACUUUCAGAACUGCUUCAGAAAGUAGCCAGAAAGAUGGGAUGUGUGUUUGAGGAAAGAGGAAGUAUUUUGAAGGGGG
rnacentral:lncRNA from 1 species